UUGACAUUUAUGGUUGUAAGGUUAUUGUGGAGAGAGGAAAGCCAAGAAUCCAGAGGAAAAACUCUUGAAUCAAGGGAGAGAUCUAUAAAAGUCCUCUCAAAUCAUGUGAUGGUGAGUCCAGAAAACUAACCCAAGACACCAGAGAAUCACAGAAUAUCAAGUUCUACAGAAGAAAAUAUAUCUGAGGGUGGCAAGGCUCUGAUUCCAAACUCUUUCUGUUGGGGAUUAAACUAGUAUAGACCAAUGAAUGGGUAACAUCCAACUAAAUAUGACACAUGUUGGUCAACUGUUGCCAGAUUGUCAGCCAUGCAUUUGGCAAUGCGUUGGCAUGCGUCAGCUGGUCAUAAAGUUCAUGAUUCAGGUUUCCAAGACAGGGGUAUCCUGGUCACAGAUAGGAAUAAUUUAGCAAAAUUAUUCAUAUGGGCCACAAUUUAGGGAUCAUAGUUUUGCGUUGGGUUUGUUGUUGGACCCAACGACCCAACACGGCAAACAUCAAUAUAAGGUAUAUGAGCUUACUUCUGAUCACAGUUUUGUGCCUAUGAAGGUAAAGGUGCUUUUGCUUGUGCGCAUGCCCAUCUAUUGUUUUAUCAUAGGUCACGUGACCUUUAAUUUUUGCACCAUACUCUCACCUCCUGCAUUUAACACACACCAGGAUUCUUUUAUAUUUACAUGUUUCCUCUUCACUUUUUUUUUGCUAAAGCCAUCUUUUCCUUUCUUAACUUGUAACCACUCAUUCCUGAUGCUCUGAAACCUGCGCUGUUGUAUGAUAAUUUUCUGCCAUAUUGAUGGUUAACCCAGCACCACCCGCAGUACAUGCAAAACUAUCGUUUUCUUCAAGACCAUAACUAUAUUCACUAUUGCGUAAUUUAAUAAGUUACACCGGAUUGUCGAUAUCAGUCGUGAUAUUGACAAUGAUGUAAGGUUUCUGGAAUAUAAAAGUCGUAAAACACAACGACUGGUACAUAAUUCCCAAUAGGGACUAGGAUUUUUCUGAGUUCCCUUACUUUCGCUAAUCAUUGACACUGAAUACUAUUUACUCUCCUAGUGAUAGCAGCCAAAUUAUUCUACAUCUUGACAUAAACUUACUUUCCUCCACAAACAAUGUAUCAGCCUCAGGGUGCUUCCUGAUGGAGUUGAUUUUACCAAUAAUGAAGUUGAACCUUGAUGCAUCAAGUUUAGCAUCAUCACCUUUCUUUGCUGCAAACAUAAAAACAUAACAAAGUCUUGAUUAACAAUAACCCUCAAAAUGCCAAAUAAAUUGAACUUCAUUAAUCCUUGAUAUGAAGAUAUAACUAGCUAAAAACUAGUGUGAGCUGCGUCGGUGUUUCUAAUGAAACAGUAAUGAUGAAAAAGUAAAUUAUACACCGUGAAUAGAUGAAAAAACUUACUGACGUUUCGGACGCUAGUCCUUCAUCAGAGUAAAAGAGAAAGAGGUGGUAGAAAGGAGUGUAUAACCACCUACCACCUACCAACUCGUUUUUCAUCUUUUCACAGUGCAUAAUUUACCUUUUCAUCAUUACUAAUCCUUGAUAUAUUAAUCCUCUUUUACUCUGAGGAAGGACUAGCGUCUGAACAAGCAGAAAGUUUUUUCAUCUUUUAACGGAGCAUAAUUUACCCUUUUAUCAUUUCUAAUCCUUGAUAUACAUGUAUGAAUAAUAAUUAAUGCAAUGACUUACAAACACUUUUUUUUUUGCGAGAGAAAGCUUUAAAAGUAACUACAUUUACAGAUAAAUUUAUAUUUUACAUCAUGAUAAGGAGAGUGGUAUUGCCAACAGCCUAUUAAAAAAAGACAAAUGUUUGAGCAUGCAAGGCACUCCACACUCACUACCAAGGUGCUACAUAUUCUAAGCAAAAAUUCCUUGUAGCAACCUCUAUUGACAUGUGGGAUCUGUAGAAUUUAAGUGAACCCAGAAUUUCGAGAAUUGAAAAGUACUCCACCAGGAUUAAUUAUAUCAAAAGUUCAAGGGUCUUCUUCUAAAUCACCUUGUUUUGGAGCCUUUUCAGCUUUAGGUUUCUUCUCUGCCUUCUUUUUUUCUCCUUGUUGUGCUGGGUUCUUCUCUGGUUGUUUUGCAGAAGCAGCAACAGCAACAGCAGCCAAUGCAGCAACAGCAGCCGGUACAGCGACAGCAGCCGGUGCAGCAACAGCAGCCGGUGCAUCAUUUGUAGCAGCAGGUGUAGGUUUUUGUGGAGCAGUAUCUCUGGCUGAUGAAGAAAUGUCAUCUAGCUUACCUGAGAGCUGGGGGAUUGAUUUUUAUCUGAACACGAGUACAGAUGCAAGCUUAAAAACUGAAAAAACCUUACCUACAGCUCUCUGAAGGCAGUCAAGAUGUCCUUUUAACAAUUCCACCAUUUCUUCUGCCUCAAUGGCGCGCUUUUCAACACGUUCAAGAAUCUCGUUAUUCCCGACCAUAAUUGAUCGCACUAAAGAAGCUCUUAAACAAAAAGAAUGUUUAAAAAGUUGACGAGAAAAACUACUCGAAAUGGACAAACUCCCGAUCAUGUAGAAGAAUGAGCCUGCUGUAAUCUGGUAAGCGGUAUUACGACAAGGAACCUNGAGCAUCAUUAUAGAGACAAGAAGCAACAAAAGGAAUCCACCUGAUUAUAUCCAUGUUGGUGUAGUAACAAGUUUAAUAAAUUAAGCAUACACAUU
rnacentral:lncRNA from 1 species